AUCAAGUUCAUCUUAAGAGUUGAAAAAUGAACGGUCAUAAAUGAAUAACCUUCUUAAAAUAGAGGUUAAACUUUCUCAGUUCGUAAUCAGAGUUAUCAAACAUUAUCUAAAUAGUAUAAAGAAUUUUCUAUUAAAAAUUCAAGCAAUUUGGAUUGCUCUACACCGUUAAACAAGCAAACGGCUCAUAUAGGCCAUAAAAAAUUGUCGAUUUUACGACACUUUGAUCACCAUGUAAACCAUUAUCAAAAUUUAUGAAAUUUAGUUUCUAGAUAUUUCAAAUACUCUAGAUCAACUUCAACGGCUCCGAUCAUCGAUUCGGAAUCUCGAUCAUCAAGAACAACUUGAUAGGACAAGUGCUCCUAUCCUAUUAAUAGGAUAGUAGCAUUAGCCUAUAUAUAUAUAUAUAUAUAUAUAUAUAUAUAGAGUUGGGCUGGAAUGCUAUUGAUAGCACCCAGCCAAUUUUGCCACCCAUUUUAUAGCCCUCGGAUUGCAUCGAGAUCCGUGCAACCCUUUAAGUGAAAAGUUUCGGUGGGUUUCUCUGUUAACCCUCCGUUAUCUCUCUCUCUCACACUCUCUCACUCACUCACUCUCUCUCUCUUCUUUUCUUUUUUCUUUUCCUUUCUUCUCCACAGAUCUCAUCUCCUUUUCCUUUCUUCUCCACAGAUCUCCUCCCACCAGAGCCUUCUCCACACCCCGCCCACCUCCCACCUCGCCCGCUCGCCCCCUCGCCAUUUCAUUUCUUUUUCCUUUUUCUUUCUUCUCCUCCGCAAAACCCACCGAAUCCCUCUCCCGUCUCGCUCGUGCGCCGGCUCGCUCGCGCCCCAACUCACUCGGCCGCCCGCUCGCUUGCUCAAAACUUGAUUCUUUCUCAGGUUUG
rnacentral:lncRNA from 1 species